CACGUGUGGAGAGCACAAGCCGGGAAUGGAAAGCCCGGCACAAGCGAGGUAGGAGUCUGGCUGGCAAAUCCGUCAGGCAAUCCGAAGACGUGAUGCGUACCGAAUUAAGAGUAGGGAAGAGUGUGAGCCAUGCGUCAAGAAAAGCCGCUAUUGUUUGUAUCGCGCCCGUACCGUAAACCGACACAGGUGGAUGGGGAGAGAAUCCUAAGGCCGACGGGAGAAGCAUUGUUAAGGAACUCGGCGAAAUGACUCCGUAACUUCGGGAGAAGGAGUGCCACUGAGAGGUGGCCGCAGAGAAUUGGCCCAAGCAACUGUUUAGCAAAAACACAGGUCUAUGCAAAACCGAAAGGUGAAGUAUAUGGGCUGACGCCUGCCCGGUGCUGGAAGGUUAAGGGGAGAGGUUAGCGCAAGCGAAGCUUUGAACUUAAGCCCCAGUAAACGGCGGCCGUAACCAUAACGGUCCUAAGGUAGCGAAAUUCCUUGUCGGGUAAGUUCCGACCCGCACGAAAGGCGUAAUGAUUUGGGCACUGUCUCAACAAUGCACCCGGUGAAAUUGAAAUACCAGUGAGGAUGCUGGUUACCUGCGCCAGGACGGAAAGACCCCAUGGAGCUUUACUCCAGCUUGAUACUGGGAUUCGGUAUUGCAUGUACAGGAUAGGUGGGAGGCUAAGAAGCGGUAACGCCAGUUGCCGUGGAGCUGCUGUUGGGAUACCACCCUUGCAGUACUGGGUUUCUAACCAGCGGCCUUAAACAGGUCGGGGGACAAUGUCAGGUGGGGAGUUUGACUGGGGCGGUCGCCUCCGAAAGGGUAUCGGAGGCGCUCAAGGUUCCCUCAGAAUGGUCGGAAACCAUUCGAAGAGUGCAAAGGCAGAAGGGAGCUUGACUGCGACACCGACGGGUGGAGCAGGUACGAAAGUAGGACUUAGUGAUCCGGUGGUAUAAAGUGGGAUUGCCAUCGCUCAACGGAUAAAAGCUACCCUGGGAUAACAGGCUUAUCACUCCCAAGAGUUCACAUCGACGGAGUGGUUUGGCACCUCGAUGUCGGCUCAUCGCAUCCUGGGGCUGAAGUAGGUCCCAAGGGUUGGGCUGUUCGCCCAUUAAAGCGGUACGCGAGCUGGGUUCAGAACGUCGUGAGACAGUUCGGUCCCUAUCCGGCGUGGGCGUAGGAUAUUUGAGAGGAGCUGUCCUUAGUACGAGAGGACCGGGAUGGACUGGCCGCUGGUUGAUCUGUUGUUCCGCCAGGAGCAUAGCAGAGUAGCCAAGCCGGGACGGGAUAAACGCUGAAGGCAUCUGAGCGUGAAGCCCCCCUCAAGAUAGAUAUCCCAACGAAAGUUGUAAGACCCCUUGAAGACGACGAGGUAGAUAGGACAGAGGUGGAAGUGUGGUAACACAUGGAGCUGACUGUUACUAAUAGGUCGAGGGCAUAACC
rnacentral:rRNA from 1 species